rnacentral:rRNA from 1 species
GAUGAACGCUGGCGGCGUGCCUAAUACAUGCAAGUCGAGCGAACAGACGAGGAGCUUGCUCCUCUGACGUUAGCGGCGGACGGGUGAGUAACACGUGGAUAACCUACCUAUAAGACCGGGAUAACUUCGGGAAACCGGAGCUAAUACCGGAUAAUAUAUUGAACCGCAUGGUUCAAUAGUGAAUGACGGUUUUGCUGUCACUUAUUGAUUGAUCCGCGCCGCAUUAGCUAGUUGGUAAGGUAACGGCUUACCAAGGUAACGAUGCGUAGCCGACCUGAGUGGGUGAUCGGCCACACUGGAACUGAGACACGGUCCAGACUCCUACGGGAGGCAGCAGUAGGGAAUCUUCCGCAAUGGGCGAAAGCCUGACGGAGCAACGCCGCGUGAGUGAUGAAGGUCUUCGGAUCGUAAAACUCUGUUAUUAGGGAAGAACAAAUGUGUAAGUAACUAUGCACGUCUUGACGGUACCUAAUCAGAAAGCCACGGCUAACUACGUG